CGAGAGUUGUGGCAGGCUGUGGCAGGGCGAGGCUUGGCGUCGCGGGGCGAGGCGGGGCGAAGGUCAACGUGGCGGGGUGAGGCGAAGCGACGCAGGGUGAGGCGAUACGUGGCAGGCGAGGCAAGGCAGGGUGGGGUAAGGGGAAGCGAGGCGGGGCGAGGUGAGGCAGGGCAAGGCGAGACAGGGCAAGGUUGGACAAGGCGGGGCGGGGCAAGGCGAGGCGGCGCAAGGCUAGGCGUGGCGGGGUGAGGCCAGGCAAGGCGGGGCGAGGCGAGUUGUGACAGGCGAAGUGUGGUUGGGUGAGGGGAAUCGAGGUGGAACGAGGUGAAGUGAGGAGGGGCAAGGCGAGGCGGGGUGGGGCGUGGCGAGGCGAGGCGAGGCAAGGCGAGGCGUGGC
rnacentral:lncRNA from 1 species